rnacentral:tRNA from 1 species
GCCGGUUUGGCUCAGUGGAUAGAGCGUCAGCCUGCAAACUGAAGGGUCCUGGGUUCAAUUCCUGGUUAGGGCA